rnacentral:rRNA from 1 species
UGGGGAAUUUUGGACAAUGGGCGAAAGCCUGAUCCAGCAAUGCCGCGUGUGUGAAGAAGGCCUUCGGGUUGUAAAGCACUUUUGUCCGGAAAGAAAUCCUUGGCUCUAAUACAGUCGGGGGACGACGGUACCGGAAGAAUAAGCGCCGGCUAACUACGUGCCAGCAGCCGCGGUAAUACGUAGGGUGCAAGCGUUAAUCGGAAUUACUGGGCGUAAAGCGUGCGCAGGCGGUUUGCUAAGACCGAUGUGAAAUCCCCGGGCUCAACCUGGGAACUGCAUUGGUGACUGGCAGGCUAGAGUAUGGCAGAGGGGGGUAGAAUUCCACGUGUAGCAGUGAAAUGCGUAGAGAUGUGGAGGAAUACCGAUGGCGAAGGCAGCCCCCUGGGCCAAUACUGACGCUCAUGCACGAAAAGCGUGGGGAGCAAAACAGGAUUAGAUACCCUGGUAGUCCACGCCCUAAAACGAUGUCAACUAGUUGUUGGGGAUUCAUUUCCUUAGUAACGUAGCUAACGCGUGAAGUUGACCGCCUGGGGAGUACGGUCGCAAGAUUAAAAACUCAAAGGAAUUGACGGGGUCAUAGCUGUUUCCU